rnacentral:rRNA from 1 species
GGUUAAGUGACUAAGCGUACAUGGUGGAUGCCUUGGCAGUCAGAGGCGAUGAAGGACGUACUAACCUGCGAUAAGCCGUGAGCAGUCGGUAAGAGACAUUACGACUCACGGAUUUCCGAAUGGGGAAACCCACUUAGCAUAAGCUAGGUAUCGCUACGUGAAUACAUAGCGUAGCGAGGCGAACCGGGAGAACUGAAACAUCUAAGUACCCCGAGGAAAAGAAAUCAACCGAGAUUCCCUCAGUAGCGGCGAGCGAACGGGGAUUAGCCCUUAAGCAUCUUGGAAGUUAGUGGAACGGUCCUGGAAAGGCCGGCGAUACAGGGUGAUAGCCCCGUACACGAAAACAACCUUGAUGUGAAAUCGAGUAGGGCGGGACACGUGACAUCCUGUCUGAAUAUGGGGGGACCAUCCUCCAAGGCUAAAUACUCCUGACUGACCGAUAGUGAACCAGUACCGUGAGGGAAAGGCGAAAAGAACCCCUGUGAGGGGAGUGAAAUAGAACCUGAAACCGUGUACGUACAAGCAGUGGGAGCCCUUCGGGGUGACUGCGUACCUUUUGUAUAAUGGGUCAGCGACUUACAUUUUGUAGCGAGGUUAACCGUAUAGGGGAGCCGUAGGGAAACCGAGUCUUAACUGGGCGUCUAGUUGCAAGGUGUAGACCCGAAACCGGGUGAUCUAGCCAUGGGCAGGUUGAAGGUUGAGUAACAUCAACUGGAGGACCGAACCCACUAACGUUGCAAAGUUAGGGGAUGACCUGUGGCUGGGGGUGAAAGGCCAAUCAAACUCGGAGAUAGCUGGUUCUCCCCGAAAGCUAUUUAGGUAGCGCCUCGGACGAAUACUACUGGGGGUAGAGCACUGUUUGGGCUAGGGGGUCAUCCCGACUUACCAACCCCAUGCAAACUCCGAAUACCAGUAAGUAAUAUCCGGGAGACACACGGCGGGUGCUAACGUCCGUCGUGAAGAGGGAAACAACCCAGACCGCCGGCUAAGGUCCCAAAGUUCUGGUUAAGUGGGAAACGAUGUGGGAAGGCUCAGACAGCUAGGAUGUUGGCUUAGAAGCAGCCAUCAUUUAAAGAAAGCGUAAUAGCUCACUAGUCGAGUCGGCCUGCGCGGAAGAUGUAACGGGGCUCAAACCAGGCACCGAAGCCGCGGAUUCACGCUAAGCGUGAGUGGUAGGGGAGCGUUCUGUAAGUCUGCGAAGGUGUAUCGAGAGGUAUGCUGGAGAUAUCAGAAGUGCGAAUGCUGACGUAAGUAACGAUAAAGGGGGUGAAAAGCCUCCUCGCCGGAAGACCAAGGGUUCCUGUCCAACGUUAAUCGGGGCAGGGUGAGUCGACCCCUAAGGCGAGGCCGAAAGGCGUAGUCGAUGGGAAGCAGGUUAAUAUUCCUGCACGACUUGUAAUUGCGAUGGGGGGACGGAGAAGGCUAGGUGGGCCAGGCGACGGUUGUCCUGGUGAAAGUGCGUAGGUGGUGUUUCUAGGCAAAUCCGGAGACACAACACUGAGACACGAGACGAACACACUACGGUGUGGAAGCCAUUGAUGCCCUGCUUCCAGGAAAAGCCUCUAAGCUUCAGAUUACAAGUCAUCGUACCCCAAACCGACACAGGUGGUCGGGUAGAGAAUACCAAGGCGCUUGAGAGAACUCGGGUGAAGGAACUAGGCAAAAUAGUACCGUAACUUCGGGAGAAGGUACGCUCUUGUUGGUGAAGUCCCUUGCGGAUGGAGCUGACGGGAGUCGCAGUGACCAGAUGGCUGGGACUGUUUAUCAAAAACACAGCACUCUGCAAACACGAAAGUGGACGUAUAGGGUGUGACACCUGCCCGGUGCCGGAAGGUUAAUUGAUGGGGUUAGCGCAAGCGAAGCUCUUGAUCGAAGCCCCGGUAAACGGCGGCCGUAACUAUAACGGUCCUAAGGUAGCGAAAUUCCUUGUCGGGUAAGUUCCGACCUGCACGAAUGGUGUAACCAUGGCCAUGCUGUCUCCACCCGAGACUCAGUGAAAUCGAAUUCGCCGUGAAGAUGCGGUGUACCCGCGGCUAGACGGAAAGACCCCGUGAACCUUUACUACAGCUUGGCACUGAACAUUGAACCUACAUGUGUAGGAUAGGUGGGAGGCUUUGAAGGCGUGACGCCAGUUGCGCUGGAGCCGUCCUUGAAAUACCACCCUUGUAUGUUUGAUGUUCUAACGCAGGGCCCUGAAUCGGGCUCGCGGACAGUGCCUGGUGGGUAGUUUGACUGGGGCGGUCUCCUCCCAAAGAGUAACGGAGGAGCACGAAGGUUGGCUAAUCCUGGUCGGACAUCAGGAGGUUAGUGCAAUGGCAUAAGCCAGCUUAACUGCGAGACGGACAGGUCGAGCAGGUACGAAAGUAGGUCAUAGUGAUCCGGUGGUUCUGAAUGGAAGGGCCAUCGCUCAACGGAUAAAAGGUACUCCGGGGAUAACAGGCUGAUACCGCCCAAGAGUUCAUAUCGACGGCGGUGUUUGGCACCUCGAUGUCGGCUCAUCACAUCCUGGGGCUGAAGUCGGUCCCAAGGGUAUGGCUGUUCGCCAUUUAAAGUGGUACGCGAGCUGGGUUCAGAACGUCGUGAGACAGUUCGGUCCCUAUCUGCCGUGGGCGUUGGAUGAUUGAAGGGAGUUGCUCCUAGUACGAGAGGACCGGAGUGAACGAACCUCUGGUGUUCGGGUUGUCACGCCAGUGGCACUGCCCGGUAGCUAAGUUCGGAAUCGAUAACCGCUGAAAGCAUCUAAGCGGGAAGCGAGCCCUGAGAUGAGUCAUCCCUGACCCCUUGAGGGUCCUAAAGGGCCGUUGGAGACCACAACGUUGAUAGGUGGGGUGUGUAAGCGCGGCGACGUGUUGAGCUAACCCAUACUAAUUACCCGUGAGGCUUAACCAU